AGGGGACCUUCGGGCCUUGCGCUAUCAGAUGAGCCUAGGUCGGAUUAGCUAGUUGGCGGGGUAAAGGCCCACCAAGGCGACGAUCCGUAACUGGUCUGAGAGGAUGAUCAGUCACACUGGAACUGAGACACGGUCCAGACUCCUACGGGAGGCAGCAGUGGGGAAUAUUGGACAAUGGGCGAAAGCCUGAUCCAGCCAUGCCGCGUGUGUGAAGAAGGUCUUCGGAUUGUAAAGCACUUUAAGUUGGGAGGAAGGGCAGUAAGUUAAUACCUUGCUGUUUUGACGUUACCGACAGAAUAAGCACCGGCUAACUUCGUGCCAGCAGCCGCGGUAAUACGAAGGGUGCAAGCGUUAAUCGGAAUUACUGGGCGUAAAGCGCGCGUAGGUGGUUUGGUAAGUUGGAUGUGAAAGCCCUGGGCUCAACCUGGGAACUGCAUCCAAAACUGCCUGACUAGAGUACGGUAGAGGGUGGUGGAAUUUCCUGUGUAGCGGUGAAAUGCGUAGAUAUA
rnacentral:rRNA from 1 species